AGUAACACGUUGUUAAUCUAACUUUUGGUUCGGAAUACCCUUGGGAAACUGAGGUCAAGACCGAAUAGGAAAAUUCUACUGGAAUGUGUUUUUUCUUAAAGGCAACGCCAAAAGAUGGGACAGCGGCGGAUUAGGUAGUUGGUGAGGUAAAGGCUCACCAAGCCCGAGAUCCGUAGGGGCCUUGAAAGAGGAAGCCCCGAGAAGGACACUGAGACACUGGUCCUAGCCCUACGGGGUGCAGCAGGCGCGAAACCUUUACAAUGCACGAAAGUGUGAUAAGGGAACCCAAAGUUCUUAGCUUAGCUAGGCUUUUGCCAAGUGUAAAAAGCUUGGAGAAUAAGUGGUGGGUAAGACUGGUGCCAGCCGCCGCGGUAACACCAGCGCCACGAGUGGGAAUCGGUUUUAUUGGGCCUAAAGCGUCCGUAGCCUGUUUGGUAAAUCUUUUGUGAAACUAUUGGGCUUAACCUAAUAACGUGCAGAAGACACUACCAGACUAGGAACCGGGAGAGGUCAGAAGUAUGCGAAGGGGAGCGGUAAAAUGCUAUAAUCCUUUGUAGACUACCUGUGGCGAAGGCGUCUGACCAGAACGGAUUCGACGGUGAGGGACGAAAGCUAGGGGAGCGAUCCGGAUUAGAUACCCGAGUAGUCCUAGCUGUAAACUCUGCGAGCAAGGUGUUGCGUAUUCUACGUGAAUGCGCAGUGUCGAUGAGAAGUCGUUUAGCUCGCCGCCUGGGAAGUACGGUCGCAAGACUGAAACUUAAAGGAAUUGGCGGGGGAGCACUACAAGGGGUGCGGCGUGCGGUUUAAUCUAACUUAACGCAGAGAAUCUCACCAGCAGCGACGGCAGAAUGAAGGUCAGUCUGAAGGGCUUACCAGACAAGCCGAGAGGUGGUGCAUGGCCGUCGUCAGCUCGUGCCGUAAGGUGUCUUGUUAAGUCAAGCAACGAGCGAGACCUGUACCCAUAAUUGCUAACGACCAGAAAUGGGAUCGAGCACUUUAUGGGAACUGCCUUGGAAACAAGGAGGAAGGUGCAGGCUACGGUAGGUCUGUAUGCCCCGAAUCUGCUGGGCAACACGCGCGCAACAAUGGUAUGGACAAUGGGCUGCAACUCCGAAAGGAGAAGCUAAUCCUCGAAACCAUAUCUUAGUCCAGAUUGAGGUUUGUAACUCAGCCUCAUGACGAUGGAAUCCCUAGUAAUCGGACGUCAACAUCGUCCGGUGAAUAUGUCCCUGCUCCUUGCACACACCGCCCGUCAAACCACUCGAGCAGGGUUUGGGUGAGCAUUAACCUAUUAGUUGAUGCGAAUCCAAGCUCAGUGAGAUGGGUUAAGUCGUCACAAGGUA
rnacentral:rRNA from 1 species